UCCAGGGAAGUUGAAGCCAACCGGAAGACCACUCGUUAAUGUAGAGGGAUGAUUCACUUCGCUCGUGCACUAAUUAACCACCGGUACACUUCAAUUAAAACGCGUUGUUUCAAUAAAAAUAAUUGGAAAAUACAAUCACACGCGAUACUGUAAGUAGCGCGUCUACGACGAAAGACGGGACACGAUUGGUUUUAAAUACAGGAUAUCAACAUCGUGAAGUCGCGACGAGGCUCGAAGGCCGAGGUUGUUUUUGUUUUGGUUUCGGUUUCGGUUUCGACUCGAAGGCUUGUUAUCCGCAUUCCAACGCCACGGAUUAAUUCAGUUACCCGACGACGAACGAUAAGAGAAGACGUAUUGAUAAUUAAUAAAUCUUUGGGAGGUUAGGAACUCCCCACGAAGUUACUUUCGGCGAUCCCCUCGUGUUUCGAGAGGCUUGGUAAGUUUGUGAUUUUUGAUUCACUGUUUGCGAGUAAAAAAUACCGUUUAUUGAUACUUAACACUUUUAUUGACCGUAUAUAUGAAUCACAAAGAAAGGGGUUGCGGGUAUAGGCACGCGACGCGCGGAGACAAUACGGAAAUAAUGGCGCCAAAUUGAGAUGCAACCAUCUUCAGGGCACCGGAUCGGUUGCCGCGCGCUGAUUGGCUCUCGGCUAGGGAACUAUGGGUAGCCAGCGAAUAAAAAAAUUAAAACAUACCUCCCUAGCGAUCAAACGACCUGGUCGAUGCAAAAUCCGAUACAAUAAUACUGUAGCGAAUCUACUUUAAUAAAGAGAAAAAAUUCGAAUUCGAAUCAGCCGGAACGUCGACAGUCGCAGCCAGUGAUCCCAAGGGAGGGAAAAAAGUCGACGAAGAAAGACGAACCCUUUCGACACGAGGAUUUUCCGGCGGCCAGGGUGGAUUGCAAAUUACAAGCUGGCGAAAUAUUAACAGGAAAUGCCAGGCUGCAUGGCGAGAGGCAUCAAAAUUUCAUGACGAGAAUCGAGUACCGAGGCUUUGCUUAUGGAAUAAUUAAUACGAUCGAAAUGUACGAUUCAACGAUAGCCGGAGAUUAUUUUUCCAUAACGCAUUUCGUUUGAGUGAAAUGAAAUUUCUGGAUACGUUCAUUAAGUCAGGUAAUGUUUACGUGGACACGUACACGCACAGGUAAAUCCACAUUAAAUAUUCAAUAACAGACAGGGACGGCUUUUUCCAGUCUGAGUAUGAUUCGACUGAACUCUUUGAGUGCAUGCAUCUAGCAAAUCCGAAAAUCCGAUUUACUGCGGCAGGUAGCCCGGAACAAGGGCGAACCGAAAAUGCAAUUUCGCGAGCUUUUACCUAAUAUUAUGACCGCGUACUCGUGCCUAGCGUAUUCCCAGAAAAUAUGGAAAGAGGACUUUACUCUUAUCCUUUUCCUCUUUACGCGCCUCUUUGUCUGUGUAAAUUCGCACCGCAAAAUGUAACCACGCGUCUGGCGGGAACGGUAUGAAAGGUUAAAUACACACGUUGAACGUUGACGAAUGAGACUUUGAUGCCUUUUCCUGCUUUUUUUAACAACUAAAGGACGCGAAACGGAAUAGCGAAAAAGGAUUCUAAGCUCUUUGCGUGAAACAUCAAUUUUUGUUGAAAUGCAAACAGCAAAGGGUGUCGUAUUGAUUUUUGUAUAAAUCCUGUGUUUUACAACUAAAUCGAACUGCAUGUUUCCUCUGGAAACAGUGCCGGUCCUAUUUUCGAAACUUAUUUGAACCUCGAAGAGAAAUCAAUUUCAACUUUUACACCUUUUUCUCUAUUAUCCUACUUUUCCAUGAUUUCAUCGGUCUGAUAGUUUUUCCGACACAGAAACGGUGUAAUAGCAAUUUCUUUGCUAGACGCACGCGGUGUGUAUAAGAGGCAGACGUCGUCAGGCAGUUACAUUUUUGCGAGAUACGAGAAGCCGGAGGAGAAUUCAGGUUUUUGCCGGGAAAGGGAGAGACAAGGGGUAAGAUCGAUAGAAAAGAGGGAACAAGAUUUCACGAGGCAAAGAAUAUCUCGAUUCAUUUUUUACGACGCUCCCGACCCUACGACAUUCUUGACAAAGGUAAAGCGUGUCAAUCGCAGAAGUAAUAUCUGAAAGUAGGGUAAGAUAUAAGAAGUAGCUGUGGGGGGGAUGAAAGGUGUAAAAACGUGGGCGAGAUCGUGUGCCUCGUGUCGGGGUAAUCUACAUGAAAAAUUUCCAAUUUCAUCCAUGCCAUCUAUCGAAGAUGGGUCAGCAAAAAAGCGUCGAUAUCCGAAUAGCAAAAAUUCAUUUUUCCCGCGCGAAACAUUAUGGUCACUUUAUCGUUGACCGCCGAUAUAUCCCAGAACGAUGAGAAAGAAUUUAAUCUAACCAUUAAACUAUCCGAGCUGUCGAUGAAUAUUUCGUCAGAAAUUCCUUGGCAAAACCGGAGAGCCUGAGUAGCUGGCUGCCUAGAUAGAUAACACGUGAAAUUCACGGUUUGCUUGCUAUUGAUACGAGGAAAAACUGGAGCAUCGCUUAUUGAAUUGCCGCGAGGUCGUUCGAUGAGCAUUGCUCGAUACUAAAACCGAAACUUCAGUCUUCCCACUAAGCAGAUGGAACUACCUAGAUGCAGGAAAUGAAGUGGAACUUAACGUUCGAGGGAACGAGCGAAGUGAUCUCGAAGGAUCUUAAUGAACCGAAGAGGAAAUCUAUGAUAUAGUGUAUGUAUGUCCUCGGUAUUCAUUAAUUCUUUUCGCCUGACACGUCUCUCUAUUGAUACCAGAUUUUCUAUACGACGGCUUUUAACGCAAAUCGAUUCGACGAAAUGGAAUAUUUCAAAGGAAAUUCAUUUCCACGGUUAAUAUGAUGCAAUUUUUGUUCAGAAUUUUCUGUGAAAAUGUUCGACAGACGUGUGGCAGUUUAAACGUUUGACGUUUAAUGAACGACGAAUACCAGGUAACAUGCCCGGAGAACUAUUCGUGAAAUUGACUCGAGAGUGGUUGGGAACUCGUAACGUUGAAACGUUAUAAUAUUUUUAUAGUCGGUUUUUACGCUGGAUCGAACAAAAGCGAUCCAUUUGCUUGUACUAGACUUUGUUACGAUUACAAAGGGAUACGUAUUGUCAGAUGUCAUUCCAUGAGUUUUCAAAUACAACUGAUUUCCAAAGAAAAUGGAACGGUGCAUGUUACACCGCCAUUUUGUAUAACAUGUAUAUUGAUCCUUUCUCUUAAAAAAGUAGAAAAUGUAAUAUAAUGCGUAUUUUACAUAAUAAACUAUAAUUCUG